GACAGAGGCCUCAAGCGUUUAGGCGGAAUCAUUGGGCGUAAAGCGCGUGUAGGCGCCAGAAAAGUCCGCUGUGAAAACUCGAGGCUCAACUUCGAGCUGUCGGUGGAAACUUUCUGGCUAGAGUCCGGAAGAGGAGAAAUGGAAUUCCUGGUGUAGCGGUGAAAUGCGCAGAUAUCAGGAAGAACACCCGUGGCGAAGGCGGUUCUCUGGGACGGUAC
rnacentral:rRNA from 1 species